rnacentral:rRNA from 1 species
CCUACGGGCGACAGCAGUGGGGAAUAUUGCACAAUGGGGGAAACCCUGAUGCAGCGACGCCGCGUGAGUGAAGAAGUAUUUCGGUACGUAAAGCUCUAUCAGCAGGGAAGAAAAUGACGGUACCUGACUAAGAAGCCCCGGCUAACUACGUGCCAGCAGCCGCGGUAAUACGUAGGGGGCAAGCGUUAUCCGGAUUUACUGGGUGUAAAGGGAGCGUAGACGGCAGCGCAAGUCUGGAGUGAAAUCCCAUGGCUUAACCAUGGAACUGCUUUGGAAACUGUGCAGCUAGAGUGCAGGAGAGGUAAGCGGAAUUCCUAGUGUAGCGGUGAAAUGCGUAGAUAUUAGGAGGAACACCAGUGGCGAAGGUGGCUUACUGGACUGUAACUGACGUUGAGGCUCGAAAGCGUGGGGAGCAAACAGGAUUAGAUACCCGAGUAGUC